rnacentral:rRNA from 1 species
ACGUAGGGAGCGAGCGUUGUCCGGAUUUAUUGGGCGUAAAGCGCGCGUAGGCGGUUUGGUAAGCCGGAUGUGAAACCUCCAAGCUCAACUUGGAGCCGCCAUCCGGAACUGUCAUGACUCGAGUCAGGUAGGGGAACACGGAAUUCCAGGUGUAGCGGUGAAAUGCUUAGAUAUCUGGAGGAACACCAGUGGCGAAGGCGGUGUUCUGGGCCUGUACUGACGCUGAUGCGCGAAAGCGUGGGGAGCGAACAGGA